AUAGGAUCAUGUAAAAACAAGUGUUAAAAUAAAAACUGAAAACUUUUAAUCUGAGCCGUUCAUCAAAUUGUAUAGCUGAGAUUUCUUUCCUCUUAUUUUUCAGACAUUACUGAAUUUCUUUCCUCUUGUUUCAGACAUUAGUGAAUUUCUCUCUCCUCCUUAAUUUUCACGUUAUUUUCUCUCUCCUCUUUAUUCUCUCCUCUUUCGUACUUUAUCUCUCUUCAACCAGCUUCCCUGUUACUCUCUCUACUGUGUUAAGAGCAAAUUUUGGCGAAAAAAACUCUAGAUAUCACAAUUCAGGGUGCAACAAGGAUUUUCAUUCGAUUUGGAUUAGAUUAUAUUCCUAUGGUGAGAACUAGAGGUGGUGUGACUUUUAAAAAAAGAAGAGGCCUUCGUAGCUUAACAGGAGGAGUUAAAUUGAAAGAUACAGGAGGUAUGAUGAAUGUUUGAUUUUUGGAUUAUUAACCUUAAUAUUCAAUUUUUUGAAUUAUAUGAUGUUAAUUUUUGAGCAAUACUAACUAGUAACACCUGUUAAUAUACUAGUUGCUUCUAUUAUGAUAGUCUCCUAAUACUAUAGGAUGUAGGUCCCUAUAUUAAUAUAAAAGUUACUAUAUUAUUAGUUCCCUAUGUAACUGAAAAAGGUCAAAUCAUGACAAUGAUUAUUAUUUUUUAGUUAUUAGUUGUUUGCUAGAUGAAAAUGAAGAUAAUUGUAUAUAUAAUUAUAUGCUUGUGUGUUUUUGGUAUGCUUAUUCUUAUUUAGCUGAUUUGCUUAGCAUGUAUCCAUCUCGAUGAUGAAGAUGAAGAGCAUAUUGAUGGUUGAAGCAAAAUGAUUGAUGAUGAUACUAACAGAGAUAAAGAUGCUUGUAUUGAAAAAGGAUUGAAAAAGAAAGCUAUCACUAAGAAAAAGAAACCUUCUACUAUUGAUAAUGCUAUACCUUUGUCAACUGUGAUGGAAGGAAAGAAGGGGAAUGAGUCUUCUUCUUCACAUGCUAUUGUUUUGUCAGCUAAGAAGAGAAAGUUGGAUAAAAAUGAAGGUCUUAAAGUGAAGAAAGUGAAGGCAAAUAAGGAUAAGAACAUUGUGAUUCAUAGGCAAGAAUCUGCAAUCAUAGAUGGUGAUGUACAUAAUUACCCGAAGUUAAUAUAUAGUUGCCUAUUUUCGAUAUAAUGACCUUAGAAUUAUGGAAAUGUUGUAAAUUUUGUUUCAGUCACCUUAUUUUUAUAUAUAGUGACCUUUAUUUUUGUAUAUAGUGACAUUUAUGUAAAUGGUGUCAAAAACUCAGUCGAUAUAGUUACUUUAUUUUUGUAUAUAGUGACCUUAAUGUAAAUGUUGUAAAAAUUGUUAUAGUUACCCUAUUUUUGUAUAUAGUGACCUCUAUGUAAAUUUGGUCAAAAUUGAAAUAGUUACCCUAUUUUUGUAUAUAGUGACCUUAAUGUAAAUAUUGUAAAAAUUGAUAUAGCUACCCUAUUUUUGUAUAUAGUUACGUUAUUUUUAUAUAUAGUGACUCUAUGUAAAUAUCGUCAAUUUAGAUAAAGUUACCUUAUUUUAGCAUGUAGUGACUUUUAAAAUGUUGCCUUUGUAAAAAAAAAAAAAAAAAAAAAAAAAAAAAAAAAAAAAAA